UCCCAGAAUGCACUGCAGUGCCAACGUAGGCAAACAGGAACAUGGCCACCGGUGUGUAGCAUCAGCAGCCCAUAUUCAUAGUCGAUCGAGUUCGAUCAAAUUACCGUGAGUGUAUCAUAAUCUAAUACUUCUUGCACCUCGAAGAGUGAAGAACAUUUUUCUUGGAGUGUUUGAAACCAAACCCGGAUAGAGUCGUGUUGCUGGAAUACAUUCACUGACAGAGUGGCAAAAUGGCAAGUCCAAGGACCAGGAGAGUACUGAAGGAAGUACGCACCGAAGAUGAAAACAAUCUUUGCUUCGAGUGUGGCGCUUUCAACCCCCAGUGGGUUAGUGUUACGUAUGGUAUAUGGAUUUGUCUCGAGUGCUCUGGGAAGCACAGGGGCCUGGGAGUACAUCUCAGCUUUGUGCGCUCGGUCACCAUGGACAAGUGGAAGGAUCUCGAGCUUGAGAAGAUGAAGGCCGGUGGCAAUGGGAAGUUCCGCCAGUUUCUCGAGCUCCAGGAUGAUUAUAAUCCCUCUUGGAGUUUGCAGGAGAAAUACAACAGCAAGACUGCGGCCCUGUUCAGAGACAAGGUUGCUACAAUAGCAGAUGGCAGGGAAUGGUCCAUCGAAACUUCCACUGCCCAGAACUGGACAUCUCCUCAACCUAGGACUAGCAUGUCAAAUUCUAGUCGCUCAGUAGCACCCGGGCAAAACCCUCACAAGCCUGGCGACAAGGCGUUUGAAGAUUGGUUGAGCGAUGACGUGAACUCCUAUCAAAGCGGAGGCGGCUACAGCGGAAAUCAGGAGAACCGAUACGUCGGCUUCGGCAACACGGUGACCCCAGAGAAGAGGGAUGACGACUUCCUGAACAAUGCCAUGACGUCUAUUUAUUCAGGUUGGAGCAACUUUGCGGUCGGAGCCAGCAAGUUUGCAACUGUUGCUAAAGAUAAUACAGCAAAACUGGCAAACCAGGCAACUCUAAAGGCCGCAGAGUUAGGACAGACAAUAAAUGAGAAUGUUAUCAAACCCACCCAGGAGAAGGUAACAUUGAUGUUUGAGGUUGUGGGCUUGGUGGCGGGCUGUAGUGCUACUGACAGUGAACGGCUUCAGAGGUGAAUGUGUGCUUCAACACGAUGCGUGUGGGAGAUGGCUCUGCACUGUUAACCGACAAAAGCAACGGAGAUAAUGUUGACAUCUUUGAUUUGAUGGCUUUUCUAGUCGGACUAUCUGCCUCUGCAAUUAUUGAACUUAUAGAUUGAUGCGAUUCUUUGCUCCUUUCUGAAAUCUUCCACAAUGAAAUUAUUGCCGCUCUGUUUACGGUCUUUCUAGAGAAAAGCAGUCUUAUGUAAUUUUUUGUACCACAGUUUUAAUAUAUAAUAAUAUAGGAAUAUAAAGAUAUGUGUAUAUUAAAAUAAAAUUAUGUCAUACGUCUUUGAUAUGGAAAUUCCAAUAUGUUGUAAAUUAAUUGAAGGUAUGGCACCCUUGCAGGGCUUUGUCCCUUUCUCUGCCUCUGUUGCUUAAAACCAAGCUGUUUUGGGUAAUAUUAAGGCUUUUGCAUUGUACACUUCACUGUAGGGAUAUGUUCUGUAAUAAAAAGGCUGAUUAGGCUGUCCAGAAAGGUCACUUAUCAAGAUGUAUUUCAACACCAGGUGUACCACACGCACUGGUUUGCUUUUGCGUUCUUACAUCCAGUAGCCAUUGUCUAUGUGUGUGUAUGUGUAGCAUUGAAUGUUUAGAACUGCACAACACAGCCGCUUUUGUCCAGCAAAUCUUUGAGAAUGUGUUUGCAUGAUGGUUUAAAAGUCUUAUUUUUCUGAUGCUGUGGCUUAUCCAGGUUAAAGAAGGGAAGUUGCUAGAUGAAAUGACAGUAGGCAUCUCUGGGCUGGCCAACAAGGUUCAGGGGGCUGGCUCCAAGCUGACUGAUCUCUUCAUGG